GUCAAGAUCCAAGAACGUUUCACGAGGAAUAACUCUACGCACGAUUUGUGAAGAAGUUUGGCCGAGACCUCAACCAGAAGGUGGAGAUCCGAGAAUCGUCUGAGAACGGGACCUAAUUUAAAGAAAUCAGUAUUUUUGGACACAUCACGGGCAAAGAAACGCUAACAAAAAGGCACGCGUCAACUAGUUAAGUCACCACCCGUUAUUUAGGAAGAAAUACUUGUAGAAUUCGCUUAGAUUGCAUGCAUGCUAGUAAUUUUGCUUCAGAUUAGCUCUCCAUGUAAAAUAUGAGUUAGAUUUAUUGUUAUGAUUGUAUUGGGUGAAUUAUCUGAGUGUUGCUUGUAUGCUUUAAGCUUCCGCCGUACGUAUGCAUGCGUUUAAUUUAUGUUGGAAUUGUGUAUUCCGCGUUCCGGGUGCUUGAUGGAUGAAUUCGCCCCAUUGAGCGUGAACUUCGUGUUCUAGGUGCUUGAUGGAGGUCAUCGCCCUGUUGAGCCGGCAUGCCUAGUUUGCAUGAAUUAUAUAUUAUGAUGUUAGAAGACGGUUGCAUGCACACUCUGUUAAUUGCUAGGGCCCAUUUCUAUGGUAAGCUUAGGGGAUUACU